rnacentral:rRNA from 1 species
AGACCCGAAACCCGGUGAUCUAGCCAUGGGCAGGUUGAAGGUUGGGUAACACUAACUGGAGGACCGAACCGACUAAUGUUGAAAAAUUAGCGGAUGACCUGUGGCUGGGGGUGAAAGGCCAAUCAAACCGGGAGAUAGCUGGUUCUCCCCGAAAGCUAUUUAGGUAGCGCCUCGUGAAUUCAUCUCCGGGGGUAGAGCACUGUUUCGGCUAGGGGGCCAUCCCGGCUUACCAACCCGAUGCAAACUGCGAAUACCGGAGAAUGUUAUCACGGGAGACACACGGCGGGUGCUAACGUCCGUCGUGAAGAGGGAAACAACCCAGACCGCCAGCUAAGGUCCCAAAGUCAUGGUUAAGUGGGAAACGAUGUGGGAAGGCCCAGACAGCCAGGAUGUUGGCUUAGAAGCAGCCAUCAUUUAAAGAAAGCGUAAUAGCUCACUGGUCGAGUCGGCCUGCGCGGAAGAUGUAACGGGGCUAAACCAUGCACCGAAGCUGCGGCAGCGACACUCAGGUGUUGUUGGGUAGGGGAGCGUUCUGUAAGCCUGUGAAGGUGGCCUGUGAGGGUUGCUGGAGGUAUCAGAAGUGCGAAUGCUGACAUAAGUAACGAUAAAGCGGGUGAAAAGCCCGCUCGCCGGAAGACCAAGGGUUCCUGUCCAACGUUAAUCGGGGCAGGGUGAGUCGACCCCUAAGGCGAGGCCGAAAGGCGUAGUCGAUGGGAAACGGGUUAAUAUUCCCGUACUUGGUGUUACUGCGAAGGGGGGACGGAGAAGGCUAUGUUGGCCGGGCGACGGUUGUCCCGGUUUAAGCGUGUAGGUGUGUGUUCCAGGUAAAUCCGGUUCACUUUAACACUGAGGCGUGACGACGAGGCACUACGGUGCUGAAGCAACAAAUGCCCUGCUUCCAGGAAAAGCCUCUAAGCAUCAGGUAACAUCAAAUCGUACCCCAAACC